AUAAAAUCAUACACUGCUUCCUAUCUGUUACGAAAAUCGCAAACCUUUUCGAAGAAUUUAUUCUGUCGGGAAUCAUCAGGGUAUUUAGGUGGAAGGAUUGAGUAAGCUUCCUUUGUAAGGUGGAUUUGAUCCUAAAAUACAGGAUAAGUCAACAGAGGUAGCAACUCUUACAAGUAAAAUGAAAGCUCUGUGUCAUGAGAAAGACAUGAUGUCCCUAUAAUACUUUGAAAAUCAUGUUAUAUCCAUUAAUAAAUUGGAUCUAAAAAACCCGAAUAUAAGGAAGUUGACGAAUGCUAUUUUGAUCAGCUACUUAAACUCAAGACAACUGAGAUGGAUAACAAGGAUUUAAAUAACUAUUGCAAUGCACUUCACAAGUGAGUUUUUAUAUUCUCUUAGCCAUAAACUGGUUUAGAUCAGAGGUGGCAAGAUUCGU